AACCCAUGUUGAGGACAUUUCUAUAGGAGAUCUUUGAACCUUUCUUAUGUCUCAAAAAGAGACUCCAAUUCCAUAUGCACAAAGUAGGAUAUCUCAUUCUUGAGCUU